UACGUAGGGGGCGAGCGUUGUCUGAAUUUACUGGGCGUAAAGCGCGCGUAGGCGGUCAUUUAAGUCCGGGGUGAAAGGUUCAGCGCUCAACGCGAACAGUGCCUCGGAUACUGGGUGACUUGAGUCUGGCAGGGGGUGGCGGAAUUCCUGGUGUAGCGGUGAAAUGCGUAGAUAUCAGGAGGAACACCGGUGGCGAAGGCGGCCACCUGGGCUAAGACUGACGCUGAGGUGCGAAAGCGUGGGGAGCGAACGGGAUUAGAUACCCCGGUAGUCCACGCCGUAAACGAUGAGUGCUAGGUGUCGGGGGUAUCGACCCCCCCGGUGCCGUCGCCAACGCAUUAAGCACUCCGCCUGGGGAGUACGGCCGCAAGGUUGAA
rnacentral:rRNA from 1 species